CUUGUUUGCAUGUGAAUGUUUAUUGUAUCUUACAUGGAGAUAUCCUGCAAGUAGAAAUCUCUCAUUUUCUUGCUCAAGGAUCCUGCAUUAUUAACAAACUCCUUUUCUUUCUUGAAAGAAAGUCAUUAGUUUCUUCAAGAUACAAAACAUUCAUAGAGCAUAUUUCUUAACUGGGUGACUCAAUCAUAAGAUAUGACAACAAUUGAAUGUUGAGUCACUUUACUCAAGAGAUUGCCUAAAUAUAAGCAAACACAUGUCACUUGAACUUAAGAGAU
rnacentral:lncRNA from 1 species